GACCUCAGUUCAGGUGAUAUUACCGGCUGAAUUUAACAUAUUACUAAGCCGACGAAAAGAAAUUAACUAGGAUUCCCCUAGUAGCAGCGAGCGAACAGGGAAGAGCCCAGCGCUGAAUCCCCCGCGCCUCGCUCGGCGGGAAAUGUAGCGUUUGGGAGGGCCCGUCAACACGGCGACUCGCUCACUGGUUCACGUCCAACUUGAAUGGGGCCACACAGAGGGUGACAGGCCCGUAGAGCAGGAGCGGUUGUCGUGUGGGUCUCUCCUUAGAGUCGGUUUGCUCGAGAGUGCAGACUUAAGUGGCUGGUAAACUCCAUCUAAGGCUAAAUAUGACCACGAGACCGAUAGCACACAAGUACCGUGAGGGAGAGGUGAAACAACUUUGAAGAGAGAGUUCAAGAGUACGUGAUACUGAAGUGUGGUAAACGGACGAGUUAGAUAAGUCCGAAUGGUGAGAUUCAAGCUUACCGUGCCGGUGGCCUUCGGGUUCAGAAGGCGUGGUCAGCUCGGGCUUCGGUUAGGGUCAUCCGGCGUCACUCGUCCUGGGGGUAUCUGUUUGGUGCGGUGGGCCGCACUUCUCGCAAAGUAGGACGUCGCGACCCGUUGGGAUGUUCCGUUCACUGCCCUCGGUGGAGCCCGCGCCGGAGCGUGGCCUUGUGCCGCGUCGACGUUAGUUCGGGCCCGGGGUGGCCCGAUCAGCCUCUUUUUUUUUCAAAGCUCGGGAAGAGGCCGCACCGUCGAUAGUUCGAUUCAG
rnacentral:rRNA from 1 species